rnacentral:rRNA from 1 species
GGGUUGUGAGGUUAAGCGACUAAGCGUACACGGUGGAUGCCCUGGCAGUCAGAGGCGAUGAAGGACGUGCUAAUCUGCGAAAAGCGUCGGUAAGGUGAUAUGAACCGUUAUAACCGGCGAUGUCCGAAUGGGGAAACCCAGUGUGAUUCGUCACACUAUCGUUAACUGAAUACAUAGGUUAACGAGGCGAACCGGGGGAACUGAAACAUCUAAGUACCCCGAGGAAAAGAAAUCAACCGAGAUUCCCCCAGUAGCGGCGAGCGAACGGGGAGCAGCCCAGAGUCUGAAUCAGCUUGUGUGUUAGUGGAACGGUCUGGAAAGUCCGACGGUACAGGGUGAUAGUCCCGUACACCAAAAUGCACAGGCUGUGAACUCGAAGAGUAGGGCGGGACACGUGGUAUCCUGUCUGAAUAUGGGGGGACCAUCCUCCAAGGCUAAAUACUCCUGACUGACCGAUAGUGAACCAGUACCGUGAGGGAAAGGCGAAAAGAACCCCGGCGAGGGGAGUGAAAAAGAACCUGAAACCGUGUACGUACAAGCAGUGGGAGCACCUUCGGGUGUGACUGCGUACCUUUUGUAUAAUGGGUCAGCGACUUAUAUUCUGUAGCAAGGUUAACCGUAUAGGGGAGCCGCAGGGAAACCGAGUCUUAACUGGGCGUUAAGUUGCAGGGUAUAGACCCGAAACCCGGUGAUCUAGCCAUGGGCAGGUUGAAGGUUGGGUAACACUAACUGGAGGACCGAACCGACUAAUGUUGAAAAAUUAGCGGAUGACUUGUGGCUGGGGGUGAAAGGCCAAUCAAACCGGGAGAUAGCUGGUUCUCCCCGAAAGCUAUUUAGGUAGCGCCUCGUGAAUUCAUCUUCGGGGGUAGAGCACUGUUUCGGCUAGGGGGUCAUCCCGACUUACCAACCCGAUGCAAACUACGAAUACCGAAGAAUGUUAUCACGGGAGACACACGGCGGGUGCUAACGUCCGUCGUGAAGAGGGAAACAACCCAGACCGCCAGCUAAGGUCCCAAAGUCAUGGUUAAGUGGGAAACGAUGUGGGAAGGCACAGACAGCCAGGAUGUUGGCUUAGAAGCAGCCAUCAUUUAAAGAAAGCGUAAUAGCUCACUGGUCGAGUCGGCCUGCGCGGAAGAUGUAACGGGGCUAAACCAUGCACCGAAGCUGCGGCAGCGACACUAUGUGUUGUUGGGUAGGGGAGCGUUCUGUAAGCCUGCGAAGGUGUGCUGUGAGGCAUGCUGGAGGUAUCAGAAGUGCGAAUGCUGACAUAAGUAACGAUAAAGCGGGUGAAAAGCCCGCUCGCCGGAAGACCAAGGGUUCCUGUCCAACGUUAAUCGGGGCAGGGUGAGUCGACCCCUAAGGCGAGGCCGAAAGGCGUAGUCGAUGGGAAACAGGUUAAUAUUCCUGUACUUGGUGUUACUGCGAAGGGGGGACGGAGAAGGCUAUGUUAGCCGGGCGACGGUUGUCCCGGUUUAAGCAUGUAGGCUGGUUGUCCAGGCAAAUCCGGAUAAUCAAGGCUGAGGUGUGAUGACGAGGCACUACGGUGCUGAAGUAACAAAUGCCCUGCUUCCAGGAAAAGCCUCUAAGCAUCAGGUAACAUUAAAUCGUACCCCAAACCGACACAGGUGGUCAGGUAGAGAAUACCAAGGCGCUUGAGAGAACUCGGGUGAAGGAACUAGGCAAAAUGGUGCCGUAACUUCGGGAGAAGGCACGCUGGUGUGUAGGUGAAGCCCCUGCGGGUGGAGCUGAGACCAGUCGAAGAUACCAGCUGGCUGCAACUGUUUAUUAAAAACACAGCACUGUGCAAACACGAAAGUGGACGUAUACGGUGUGACGCCUGCCCGGUGCCGGAAGGUUAAUUGAUGGGGUUAUCCGUAAGGAGAAGCUCUUGAUCGAAGCCCCGGUAAACGGCGGCCGUAACUAUAACGGUCCUAAGGUAGCGAAAUUCCUUGUCGGGUAAGUUCCGACCUGCACGAAUGGCGUAAUGAUGGCCAGGCUGUCUCCACCCGAGACUCAGUGAAAUUGAACUCGCUGUGAAGAUGCAGUGUACCCGCGGCAAGACGGAAAGACCCCGUGAACCUUUACUAUAGCUUGACACUGAACAUUGAGCCUUGAUGUGUAGGAUAGGUGGGAGGCUUUGAAGCGUGGACGCCAGUCUGCGUGGAGCCAACCUUGAAAUACCACCCUUUAAUGUUUGAUGUUCUAACGUUGGCCCCUUACCGGGGUUGCGGACAGUGUCUGGUGGGUAGUUUGACUGGGGCGGUCUCCUCCCAAAGCGUAACGGAGGAGCACGAAGGUUAGCUAAUCCUGGUCGGACAUCAGGAGGUUAGUGCAAUGGCAUAAGCUAGCUUGACUGCGAGCGUGACGGCGCGAGCAGGUGCGAAAGCAGGUCAUAGUGAUCCGGUGGUUCUGAAUGGAAGGGCCAUCGCUCAACGGAUAAAAGGUACUCCGGGGAUAACAGGCUGAUACCGCCCAAGAGUUCAUAUCGACGGCGGUGUUUGGCACCUCGAUGUCGGCUCAUCACAUCCUGGGGCUGAAGUAGGUCCCAAGGGUAUGGCUGUUCGCCAUUUAAAGUGGUACGCGAGCUGGGUUUAGAACGUCGUGAGACAGUUCGGUCCCUAUCUGCCGUGGGCGCUGGAGAAUUGAGGGGGGCUGCUCCUAGUACGAGAGGACCGGAGUGGACGCAUCACUGGUGUUCGGGUUGUCAUGCCAAUGGCACUGCCCGGUAGCUAAAUGCGGAAGAGAUAAGUGCUGAAAGCAUCUAAGCACGAAACUUGCCCCGAGAUGAGUUCUCCCUGAGACUUUAAGUCUCCUGAAGGAACGUUAAAGACGAUGACGUUGAUAGGCCGGGUGUGUAAGCGCAGCGAUGCGUUGAGCUAACCGGUACUAAUGAACCGUGAGGCUUAACCUUACAACGCCGAAG